rnacentral:rRNA from 1 species
AACGAACGCUGGCGGCAUGCCUAACACAUGCAAGUCGAACGAGACCUUCGGGUCUAGUGGCGCACGGGUGCGUAACGCGUGGGAAUCUACCCUUGGGUUCGGAAUGACAGUUAGAAAUGACUGCUAAUACCGGAUGAUGACGUGAGUCCAAAGAUUUGUCGCCCAAGGAUGAGCCCGCGUAAGAUUAGCUUGUUGGUGGGGUAAUGGCCUACCAAGGCGACGAUCUUUAGCUGGUCUGAGAGGAUGAUCAGCCACACUGGGACUGAGACACGGCCCAGACUCCUACGGGAGGCAGCAGUGGGGAAUAUUGGACAAUGGGCGAAAGCCUGAUCCAGCAAUGCCGCGUGAGUGAUGAAGGCCUUAGGGUUGUAAAGCUCUUUUACCAGGGAUGAUAAUGACAGUACCUGGAGAAUAAGCUCCGGCUAACUCCGUGCCAGCCGCCGCGGUAA